rnacentral:misc_RNA from 1 species
UUUCCGUAGGUGAACCUGCGGAAGGAUCAUUAUCGAAUUUCGAGGUGUAGGAAGCUGAGGAGAGGAGACUUUCGCUGGCUUUCCCGCCUGGGAAGCAUGUGCACGCCUUGCUUUUCGUUGACCUUUCUCUUACUCUCACACCUGUGCACCCAUUGUAGGUCCUCGAAAGAGGAUCUAUGUUUUUAUCAUCAAACGCAUCGUAUGUCCAUAGACUGUAACAUGAUCGUCUAUCGACCUCGCGGUCGGGUGGCGGUCCAUAUAAAUAAAUACAACUUUCAGCAACGGAUCUCUUGGCUCUC